rnacentral:tRNA from 3 species
CGGAUUAGGGCCGGGUAGGUUAGGUGCUUUGUUUGGGUCAAAGAUCAGUUACGUUCGAAUCGUAAUAAUCCGA